GAUGAACGCUGGCGGCGUGCCUAAUACAUGCAAGUCGAGCGAACGGACGAGAAGCUUGCUUCUCUGAUGUUAGCGGCGGACGGGUGAGUAACACGUGGAUAACCUACCUAUAAGCCUGGGAUCACUUAGGGAAACCGGAGCUAUUACCGGAUAAUCUUUUGACCCGCAUGGAUCAAAACUGAAAGACGGUCUUGCUGACACUUAUAGAUGGAUCCGCGCUGCAUUAGCUAGUUGGUAGGGUAACGGCUUACCAAGGCAACGAUGCAUAGCCGACCUGAGAGGGUGAUCGGCCACACUGGAACUGAGACACGGUCCAGACUCCUACGGGAGGCAGCAGUAGGGAAUCUUCCGCAAUGGGCGAAAGCCUGACGGAGCAACGCCGCGUGAGUGAUGAAGGUCUUCGGAUCGUAAAACUCUGUUAUUAGGGAAGAACAUAUGUGUAAGUAACUGUGCACAUCUUGACGGUACCUAAUCAGAAAGCCACGGCUAACUACGUG
rnacentral:rRNA from 1 species